UGCGCAGUUUGCCUGGCGGACAUGACACUUGUAAUGUUGGUUUGGAUUUAUACUUCUAAUACCAUUGUGUUUAUAACAAUUUAACAGUGAAUGUGUAAUACAUCGAAUGUUUAGGUGGCUUGGAAGACCUACGUGAUAUAUACUUUACUUAGCAGAUUAUGUGCUGGUACUGAAGAUUCUUAAUUCAUACAAUGUGUGAUAAAAGAUUCCAUAUUGCAGCUGCACAGCUUCAACGUAAGACUAUCAUAUCUAAAAGAGCUCUUAAGGUAUAAAGGUAUUUUCAAAAUGGGAAGAGAGAAAAAGACAAAGUAUCGAUUUCGCAAACACAUCAGAUAUGACGAUAUACGUGAUGCUAUUAAGAAGUUAAAUAUUCAGACAUUCACAAAAUCGUGGAGGGACGAACAGUCAGAAUAUGGGUUGAUAUGCAAUGCCAUUGGCCGAAAAAACAGUACAGAAAACAGGUUACGGAUACGAGCCCUGAUGAGAAACGAACCAAAACUUGAACUUGAAAAGACGGAGUGGCACAAUAUUAAAUUGAAGACUGAUGCAUAUGCAGAGAAUGAUCACAUCGAAAACACUAAACAAGUACCAAUAAUUGAUGAAUUGACAGGUAAAUCAAGUGUUGGAUACAAGUAUUUGUUUGAUUUGCAAUUUUGAACUUUCACGAAUGAACCUGAUAGUUUGUACUGCCUUUAUUUUUUGAUCUGAGAAAGGAAAGUCGGAUUUUCCAGAAUGAUGAUUUAUGAAUGGAUAUUUGUGGAAGCUAUAAGCAUGAAGGUAGCACAAUAC